UGGGCGUAAAGCGCACGCAGGCGGUCUGUUAAGCUAGAUGUGAAAGCCCCGCGCUCAACGUGGGAGGGUCAUUUAGAACUGGCAGACUAGAGUCUUGGAGAGGGGAGUGGAAUUCCAGGUGUAGCGGUGAAAUGCGUAGAGAUCUGGAGGAACAUCAAUGGCGAAGGCAACUCCCUGGCCAAAGACUGACGCUCAUGUGCGAAAGUGUGGGUAGCGAACAGGAUUAGAUACCCUGGUAGUCCACACCGUAAACGCUGUCUACUAGCUGUUUGUGGAUUUAAUCCGUGAGUAGCGAAGCUAACGCGAUAAGUAGACCGCCUGGGGAGUACGGCCGCAAGGUUAAAACUCAAAUGAAUUGACGGGGACCCGCACAAGCAGUGGAGCAUGUGGUUUAAUUCGAUGCAACGCGAAGAACCUUACCCAGACUUGACAUGUAGUGGACCGCACCAGAAAUGGUGCUUUCCUUCGGGACCGCUACACAGGUGCUGCAUGGCU
rnacentral:rRNA from 1 species